rnacentral:misc_RNA from 1 species
GAUGAAGAACGCAGCAAAAUGCGAUAAGUAAUGUGAAUUGCAGAAUUCAGUGAAUCAUCGAAUCUUUGAACGCACAUUGCGCCCGCUGGUAUUCCGGCGGGCAUGCCUGUUCGAGCGUCAUUUCAACCCUCAAGCCCCCGGGUUUGGUGUUGGGGAUCGGCUCUGCCCUUCUGGGCGGUGCCGCCCCCGAAAUACAUUGGCGGUCUCGCUGCAGCCUCCAUUGCGUAGUAGCUAACACCUCGCAACUGGAACGCGGCCCGGCCAUGCCGUAAAACCCCAACUUCUGAAUGUUGACCUCGGAUCAGGUAGGAAUACCCGCUGAACUUAAGCAUAUCAAUAAGCGGAGGA